GCGUGAGGGGACUGCGGAGGACAUUAUUGAGUUUUGAACGGGUUGUUGCUGGCCUUGUUAUGAAGGCAUGUGCACGCCUGACUCAUCCACUCUUUACCUUUGUGCAUUUUUUGUAGGAAUUGGUUUUUGAAGCUGAUGCAAGUUAGUGAAAGUAACCUUUCCUAUGUUUUAAUUAAAAACACUUUGGUUAUAGAAUGUUUGUAUGCAGAUAAUGCAUUUAAUUAUACAACUUUCAGCAACGGAUCUCUUGGCUCUUGCAUCGAUGAAGAACGCAGCGAAAUGCGAUAAGUAAUGUGAAUUGCAGAAUUCAGUGAAUCAUCGAAUCUUUGAACGCACCUUGCGCUCCUUGGUAUUCCGAGGAGCAUGCCUGUUUGAGUAUCAUGGAAACCUCAACUUCUAGAAACUUUUUGAUAAAAGUUUUUCAGAAGCUUGGAUGUGGAGGGUUGUGUUGGCUUUUGUUUUAGUCGACUCCUCUGAAAUAUAUUAGCGUGAACCUUUGUGGAUCAUCUUCAAUGUGAUAAUUGUCUGCAUUGUAGUUGUGAAGCGUGCUAUAUUUGUUCAUGCUUAUAAUGCUCUUUUUGAAGAGACAUUUUUGUAUGGCUUUUGAUCUCAAAUCAGGUAGGACUACCCGCUGAACUUAAGCAUAUCAAAAGCCCCGGAGAGGAA
rnacentral:rRNA from 1 species